ensembl:lncRNA
GUGUAUGUAUGUUGUGUCUACUUGCCCGCCCUUGACUGUACGAGUGUGUGUGUGUGUUUUUAGCACUCCUCAGCUCGUACACUUCUUUUUGACUUUUUUGACUAUUACUGCUCUUAAAUUGCUCGUAAUUCCAAUCUGUCAAUGUCCGCCUAAUCCCGCUUCUAUGUGUCUAGGUGCCGGUGCCCGUCGUCAGUCCCCUCUCUCUCCGUUACUGGACCUGGAUCAGGAUUUGGACCUGGAUCUGGACACCCCUUAUGUUUAUUUUAUGACAUUUUUUAUCCACAACAUUAGAAAAACCACUUUCGUUUGCUUGUUUGCGCCUUCUUGUUCGCUCAAUUGCGUUUUCAGCGCAUAAAGAGCAAAAGUGUGUAAGGGGACACAGGAUGAAUGGGAACUAGUUUUGUUAUUGUACUUUUGAUGAAAAGUCACUUUCUAGACAUAAAAUGUCACUUUUUUCACCUUAUCAUACUUUUUCAUCAACUUUUGCAUUUUAAUGUAAACAAUCAUAUUUCGUAAUAUUUUGGGUCAGAAACAUUUCAUAGUACUAUAUUAUGUCUAACUAUGUGAAAACAAUCAAAUUGGAGUAGGUCGUGCACUUGAUUAUAUGAGUUUGUUAGAAAAACCACUUUCCUUUGCUCCUAGCGCCUUCUCGUUCGCUCUAUAGCGUUUUCAGAGCAUAAAGAGCACAAGUGUGUAAGGGGACACAGAAUGAAUGGGAACUAGUUUUGUUAUUGUACUUUUGAUGAAAAGUGACUUUCUAGACAUAAAAUGUCACUUUUUUCACCUUAUCAUACUUUUUCAUCAACUUUUGCAUUUUAAUGUAAACAAUCAUAUUUAGUAAUAUUUUGGGUCAGAAACAUUUCAUAGUACUAUAUUAUGGCUAACUAUGUGAAACAAAUCAAAUUGGAGUAGGUCGUGCACUUGAUUAUAUGAGUUUGUUAGAAAAACCACUUUCCUUUGCUCCUAGCGCCUUCUCGUUCGCUCUAUUGCGUUUUCAGCGCAUAAAGAGCACAAGUGUGUAAGGGGACACAGAAUGAAUGGGAACUAGUUUUCUUAUUGUACUUUUGAUGAAAAGUCACUUUCUAGACAUAAAAUGUCACUUUUUUCACCUUAUCAUUCUUUUUCAUCAACUUUUGCAUUUUAAUGUAAACAAUCAUAUUUCGUAAUAUUUUGGGUCAGAAACAUUUCAUAGUACUAUAUUAUGUCUGACUAUGUGAAAAAAAUCAAAUUGGACUAGGUCGGGCAACUGAUUAUAUGAGUUUGUUAGAAAAACCACUUUCCUUUGCUCCUAGCGCCUUCUCGUUCGCUGUAUAGCGUUUUGAGCGGAUAAAGAGCACAAGUGUGUAAGGAGACACAGGAUGAAUGGGAACUAGUUUUGUUAUUGUACUUUUGAUGAAAAGUGACUUUCUAGACAUAACAUGUCACUUUUUUCACCUUAUCAUACUUUUUCAUCAACUUUUGCAUUUUAUUGUAAACAAUCAUAUUUCAUAAUAUUUUGGGUCAGAAACAUUUCAUAGUACUAUAUUAUGUCUAAAUAUGUGAAAAGAAUCAAAUUGGACUAGGUCGGGCAACUGAUUAUAUGAGUUUGUUAGAAAAACCACUUUCCUUUGCUCCAAGCGCCUUCUCGUUCGCUCUAUAGCGUUUUGAGUGGAUAAAGAGCACAAGUGUGUAAGGAGACACAGGAUGAAUGGGAACUAGUUUUGUUAUUGUACUUUUGAUGAAAAGUCACUUUCAAGACAUAAAAUGUCACUUUUUUCACCUUAUCAUACUUUUUCAUCAACUUUUGCAUUUUAUUGAAAAAAAUCAUAUUUCGUAAUAUUUUGGGUCAGAAACAUUUCAUAGUACUAUAUUAUGUCUAAAUAUGUGAAAAGAAUCAAAUUGGACUAGGUCGGGCAACUGAUUGUAUGAGUUUGUUAGAAAAACCACUUUCCUUUGCUCCUAGCGCCUUCUCGUUCGCUGUAUAGCGUUUUGAGCGGAUAAAGAGCACAAGUGUGUAAGGAGACACAGAAUGAAUGGGAACUAGUUUUGUUAUUGUACUUUUGAUGAAAAGUCACUUUCUAGACAUAAAAUGUCACUUUUUUCACCUUAUAAUACUUUUUCAUCAACUUUUGCAUUUUAUUGUAAACAAUCAUAUUUCGUAAUAUUUUGGGUCAGAAACAUUUCAUAGUACUAUAUUAUGUCUAACUAUGUGAAAAAAAUCAAAUUGGAGUAGGUCGUGCACUUGAUUAUAUGAGUUUGUUAGAAAAACCACUUUCCUUUGCUCCUAGCGCCUUCUCGUUCGCUCUAUUGCGUUUUGAGCGGAUAAAGAGCACAAGUGUGUAAGGAGACACAGGAUGAAUGGGGACUAGUUUUGUUAUUGUACUUUUGAUGAAAAGUGACUUUCUAGACAUAAAAUGUCACUUUUUUCACCUUAUACUUUUUCAUCAACUUUUGCAUUUUAUUGUAAACAAUCAUAUUUCGUAAUAUUUUGGGUCAGAAACAUUCCAUAGUACUAUAUUAUGUCUAAAUAUGUGAAAACAAUCAAAUUGGAGGCGGUCGGGCAACUGAUUAUAUGAGUUUGUUAGAAAAACCACUUUCCUUUGCUCCUAGCGCCUUCUCGUUCGCUCUAUAGCGUUUUCAGCGCAUAAAGAGCACGUGUGUGUAAGGGGACACAGAAUGAAUGGGAUCUAGUUUUGUUAUUGUACUUUUGAUGAAAAGUCACUUUCUAGACAUAAAAUGUCACUUUUUUCACCUUAUAAUACUUUUUCAUCAACUUUUGCAUUUUAAUGUAAACAAUCAUAUUUCGUAAUAUUUUGGGUCAGAAAAAUUUCAUAGUACUAUAUUAUGUCUAACUAUGUGAAAAAAUCAAAUUGGAGUAGGUCGUGCACUUGAUUAUAUGAGUUUGUUAGAAAAACCACUUUCCUUUGCUCCUAGCGCCUUCUCGUUCGCUGUAUAGCGUUUUGAGCGGAUAAAGAGCAUAAGUGUGUAAGGAGACACAGGAUGAAUGGGAACUAGUUUUGUUGUUGUACUUUUGAUGAAAAGUGACUUUCCAGACAUAAAAUGUCACUUUUAUCACCUUAUCAUACUUUUUCAUCAACUUUUGCAUUUUAUUGUAAACACUCAUAUUUCGUAAUAUUUUGGGUCAGAAACAUUUCAUAGUACUAUAUUAUGUCUAAAUAUUUGAAAACAAUCCAAUUGGACUAG